rnacentral:lncRNA from 1 species
AGUUUGGAGAUCUAAAUAGAAAAAAAUAAUAAUAAUUAGUAGGGAUGUCAACGGGUUGGGUCUGGGUCGGAUUUUUAAAAGCCCGAACCUGAACCCGAAAACCAAAUUAAAAUUCGUACCCGGAUUCGAAUUCGGCGGGUUUUAAAAAUCCAUACCGUUGAAUGAAGAUUUAAGAGAUAAAAAUUAUUAAAUAUUUUAUAUAUUAUAUAAAUGAAUAAAAAUAAAGUAUGUAUAUAUAUAAUUUAUUCAGGUUCAGGUUCGGGCCAGAUAAAUACAAAAUCCAUACCCGUUAGGUUUUUAUUUUCUAUACUCAUAACCGAAUCCAUACAUGUUUAGCUUGGGUAAACCGGCCCCGUUCAGAUUCGGAUUCGGAUAAUAUUUCGGAUAUCCAUAUCCAUUGACAUCCCUAAUAAUUAAGGACCAAAUUGUAAAAUUUAGAUACC